rnacentral:pre_miRNA from 1 species
AAAAAGAUAAACCUUGAGUUUCCGUGUCUAACGUUUAACUGUUCGUCUUAUAUGAAAUUCUUUUAUAAUUAGUAUUUCCAUUGUUGUUAGAUGAUAAAACAUGAUUAAUACUUUAUGCGUGACUUGUAUUUUUAUUUUUUUUCAUAUUUUUUUCAAAUAAGACGAACGGUUAAACAUUGGACACGGAAACCCAUAGUU